GAUGAACGCUGACAGCAUGCUUAACACAUGCAAGUCGAUGGGGAAGUGGUGCUUGCACCAUGGCAACCAUGGCGGACGGGUGAGUAACGCGUAAGGGACUUACCUGCAGGACUGGGAUAACAGGGGGAAACUCCUGACAAGACCGGAUAAUGUCAUGGCGCUGCAUGGCUUUUUGAUGAAAGGAGACGCCUGCGGAGAGCCUUGGGUCCUAUUAGCUAGUUGGUGAGGUAAUGGCUCACCAAGGCGAGGAUAGGUAGCCGGCCUGAGAGGGUGGACGGCCACAAGGGGACUGAGAUACGGCAGUUACGCCUACGGGAGGAAGCAGGGGGGAAUAUUGGACAAUGGGGGCAACCCUGAUGCAGCAAUUCUGUGUGCACGAAGAAGGUUUUCGGAGUGAAAAGUGCUUUCAGCAGGGAAGAAGUAAGUGACGGUACCUGCAGAAGAAGCGACGGCUAAAUACGUG
rnacentral:rRNA from 1 species